AUUGAACGCUGGCGGAAUGCUUUACACAUGCAAGUCGAACGGCAGCACGGACUUCGGUCUGGUGGCGAGUGGCGAACGGGUGAGUAAUAUAUCGGAACGUGCCCAGUCGUGGGGGAUAACGUAGUGAAAAUUACGCUAAUACCGCAUACGAUCUAUGGAUGAAAGCGGGGGAUCGCAAGACCUCGCGCGAUUGGAGCGGCCGAUAUCGGAUUAGGUAGUUGGUGAGGUAAAGGCUCACCAAGCCGACGAUCUGUAGCUGGUCUGAGAGGACGACCAGCCACACUGGAACUGAGACACGGUCCAGACUCCGACGGGAGGCAGCAGUGGGGAAUUUUGGACAAUGGACGCAAGUCUGAUCCAGCCAUUCCGCGUGCAGGACGAAGGCCUUCGGGUUGUAAACUGCUUUUGUACAGAACGAAAAGGUCUCUAUUAAUACUAGGGGCUCAUGACGGUACUGUAAGAAUAAGCACCGGCUAACUACGUGCCAGCCGCCCCCGUAA
rnacentral:rRNA from 1 species